AUUGAACGCUGGCGGCAGGCCUAACACAUGCAAGUCGAGCGGAUGAAGGGAGCUUGCUCCUGGAUUCAGCGGCGGACGGGUGAGUAAUGCCUAGGAAUCUGCCUGGUAGUGGGGGAUAACGUCCGGAAACGGGCGCUAAUACCGCAUACGUCCUGAGGGAGAAAGUGGGGGAUCUUCGGACCUCACGCUAUCAGAUGAGCCUAGGUCGGAUUAGCUAGUUGGUGGGGUAAAGGCCUACCAAGGCGACGACCCGUAACUGGUCUGAGAGGAUGAUCAGUCACACUGGAAGUGAGACACGGUCCAGACUCCUACGGGAGGCAGCAGUGGGGAAUAUUGGACAAUGGGCGAAAGCCUGAUCCAGCCAUGCCGCGUGUGUGAAGAAGGUCUUCGGAUUGUAAAGCACUUUAAGUUGGGAGGAAGGGCAGUAAGUUAAUACCUUGCUGUUUUGACGUUACCAACAGAAUAAGCACCGGCUAACUUCGUG
rnacentral:rRNA from 1 species